AUUGAACGCUGGCGGCAGGCCUAACACAUGCAAGUCGAACGGCAGCGGGAAGUAGCUUGCUACUUUGCCGGCGAGUGGCGGACGGGUGAGUAAUGUCUGGGAAACUGCCUGAUGGAGGGGGAUAACUACUGGAAACGGUGGCUAAUACCGCAUGACGUCGCAAGACCAAAGAGGGGGACCUUCGGGCCUCUUGCCAUCGGAUGUGCCCAGAUGGGAUUAGCUAGUAGGCGGGGUAAUGGCCCACCUAGGCGACGAUCCCUAGCUGGUCUGGGAGGAUGACCAGCCACACUGGGAGUGAGACACGGCCCAGACUCCUACGGGAGGCAGCAGUGGGGAAUAUUGCACAAUGGGCGCAAGCCUGAUUCAGCCAUGCCGCGUGUGUGAAGAAGGCCUUCGGGUUGUAAAGCACUUUCAGCGAGGAGGAAGGGGUUGAACUUAAUACGUUCAAUCAUUGACGUUACUCGCAGAAGAAGCACCGGCUAACUCCGUGCCAGCCGCCGCCGUAA
rnacentral:rRNA from 1 species